rnacentral:rRNA from 1 species
CCCUAUGGGGUGCACCAGGACCAACCCUUCGGCGCGCCUGAUCUCAUCGCAAUGCAAUUGGACCAACGGCGGCAACGCCGCGUUCUUUGACCGUUCCGCAGCCGGGAGCACCGGGUCAAAGCGCUCGGCGUAGAGAUCAUGAAAAAACACCUGGUGGCCGCAGGCUUUCAACGCAUCGCAGGCAGCCGCAGCUAUGGCGUGAUUAAAACUUUUAUCGGAGGGAUGGCCGAGUAUGACCGAGAUUUUCAUACAACAAUAUUGAUGAGUUUAUUGGGGACAACGAUGAACUUCUUGAGGGGCUUGCCUUCGAUCCAGGUUUGCGAUUUCUCGUCUUUGGCGACGAUCGCACGCAGCUGCUCUUCAGAGGAAUUGGCGGGGGAGC